AGCGGCAAGCUGUAAAUGGACAAUUGAAUCACCUAACAGGAUUAGCUACACCGGUGUUUUCUUUCACCUUGAGGGACUCCCACACGCUGGUCCAUGCGCAGAUUUUGUACAGACUUCUGUAAUCAUAGCCUGUGACAGAGCCCUCCAAAAUUAUUCCUUGACCAACCAGGUCAGUCCAGUGGUAUUGGAUUUCACAAGUGAUCCGACAACCACGUUACCAGGAUUUUUGAUUUGCUUCGAAACACUUGAGACAACGACUUCAACAACAACGACAACUACCACAACAACCACCCCAACUACUACCACAACAACCACCCCAACUACUACCACGACAACGACAGCAGCAACGAUAACAUCCGAUAACGACGAUGGAAUUAUUGACGUCUUUUUACCUGUGGCAGUUGUCAUCGUCGCCUUCAACUUACUUUUUAACUUUUUUUGAGAUUUAUUUCCUGUUAAACAAUUCAUGAUAUUGUCUUUCAAUAAAAUUGUCUUGUUUAC